rnacentral:tRNA from 1 species
GGAGGGCUCGCCUAGUGGCCGAUGGCGAUGGUCUUGAAAACCAUUGUGGCGGUAACGUCACCGUGGGUUCGAAUCCCACGCCCUCCG